GGAUGCAUGGAAACAUAUGUCAGCUGGUUCACUCUGCUGGCAGUUUAUUUUGCUCUCUUGUAAAAAUGUGACAUUAUAAUUAAUGUCAGCGACAUGCCAGCAGAGCAGUGCGGGGGAACUUUUCAGCUUGUUGCAACUUCUUGGCCGUUCUCGUGAAACCAGCAGUCACAGAUUAUCUCAAGUCACGGUUACGCAGCAUUUCUGUGUAUUUUUAACAUCCUGAGUCAUUCGUGCGACUUUGUUCCUGCCUAAAUAGAAACGAGGAAGGGAGUCACCGUCCAGGGCUUACUGUUAAGAUGAACGCACCUCUUCUGAAAUCUGUGAAUUAUUCGUUAGGUGGAAUUUCUUUUUUUUUUUUUUUUCUUUUGUUACGGCUGUGACCGUAAUUGUGUGUGGAUUUGAGUGUCUAGGUGCUCCUCCGGGAUUGACGAUUUGGCGUUGGUAAUGUGUUGUUUUUGCGUGACUGUUAUGUGUUUCCUACUUUACUUUGAAAGUCUGUGUCAUCUUAGUGUGUUCAGUUUACAUUUUCCCUGUCUCGUCAGUUCUGAUUUGCCCCAGCUGUGUUUCCCUCCUGUUGUCCAUUCCCUGAUUGUUCCCUCCAUGUAUUUAAGCCCUGUGUGUCAGUUGUCAUGGUCGCGAUCUUUUCCCCCCCCCCGUUGUAAAUAGUUUGGCGCCUUGCGUUGUAAAUAAAUAUCAUUUUGCUUUAAAGAAAAUAGUGGUCGUUUUGGGAUGAUUUUUGUGGAAACCCGUAUUAGUUUUUUCUCGUGUUUUUUUCUCGUGUUUUUUUUUUUUACCUUAUUUUUAUUUUCCUUAUUUUUAUUUUCCUUAUCUUUGUUUUUCUACGUUGCACCCCGGUUGCCUAGGCCGGGGUGUAACACUUUUUUUUGUAGGCCUGCCGGAACAAAUACAAAAAAAACAAGCGUCUCUGAUUUAAUAGGCCCGUAAUAAUAAAAUACAACAUCCUUAUAGGUGUUGGGGAAAUGACAUCACUUUCAGCUCAUGGAAAUGAAAACUCGAUGAGCUGGAAAAUUAAGAAAAUGAAAUAAUUUUAUUGGGAAAUUUUCUUUGGGACUUUAAUACGUUGAGCCUGUUGGUUUGGUCUGUGUCUUUCCUUUGUAUUUGUAUUAAUUUGCAGUAAAAAAGUGCUUUACAAACUGGAGAUGUGGGAUUUAAAAGUAAACACUUAGGAGGGUGAAUUUAAAUACAGAUUGUUUUAUGAAAAUUGCAUAAUAAACUAAAUAUAUUUGACACCAAUUUUGACUAGAUAGUUGUUUAAGCAUUUGUUUAGGUUGAAAGAUAUAUAUUCAAGACAACAGCAGCAAUUAUUAACCUCAAAUUUGUCUUUUUUUAUCAUAGAAGUUUCAUUUAUCUGAUGCAGUGUGCAACUUUAUGAUUUCAAAUACAAAAAAAAGCACUGACAAUGUGCACAGUAUACAUUCACACAUGGCCCUCUGGAUACUGGCUUUCGAUUGCUGUGUUGAUGGCUCUGAUGCUCUCGGUGCUAUACUCCACUGCCCACACAUAGUUUGCCUGCCUCCCUGCUGGUGCGCUGGUUCAGUGGCUGGUCAGGAGAGCUCAGGUGCAUCAGCACAGAAACCGAGGCUAGUGGAAGAACUGGCAACCAGCCAGACUACUAUGGGAGGUCCUAUAUUCUCCUACACAGGAACAUUCAUAGUAGCCACAUUUCAGAUGAUAAUCAGCCACAAAAAAAAAAAACACUAAGAAAGUGGACAGUUUAUGUGCAUUUGGAUUUUUUAGUACCCAAG
ensembl:lncRNA